AGUUGCCAACGGGUAGAGCCGGGCGACUCUGGCGGGACUGCCAUCGACAAGAUGGAGGAAGGUGGGGAUGACGUCAAGUCAUCAUGGCCCUUAUGUCCAGGGCGACACACGUGCUACAAUGGCCGGCACAGCGGGAAGCGAGGCAGUGAUGCCAAGCGGAUCCCUUAAAGCCGGUCUCAGUUCGGAUUGAAGUCUGCAACUCGACUUCAUGAAGCUGGAAUCGCUAGUAAUCGUGGAUCAGCCAAGCCGCGGUGAAUACGUUCCCGGGCCUU
rnacentral:rRNA from 1 species